CCUACGGGAGGCAGCAGUGGGGAAUAUUGGACAAUGGGGGCAACCCUGAUCCAGCCAUGCCGCGUGUGUGAAGAAGGCCCUCGGGUUGUAAAGCACUUUCAGUGAGGAAGAACGCCUGGUGGUUAAUACCCAUCAGGAAAGACAUCACUCACAGAAGAAGCACCGGCUAACUCCGUGCCAGCAGCCGCGGCAAUACGGAGGGUGCGAGCGUUAAUCGGAAUUACUGGGCGUAAAGCGCGCGUAGGUGGCUUGAUAAGCCGGUUGUGAAAGCCCCGGGCUCAACCUGGGAACGGCAUCCGGAACUGUCAAGCUAGAGUGCAGGAGAGGAAGGUAGAAUUCCCGGUGUAGCGGUGAAAUGCGUAGAGAUCGGGAGGAAUACCAGUGGCGAAGGCGGCCUUCUGGACUGACACUGACACUGAGGUGCGAAAGCGUGGGUAGCAAACAGGAUUAGAUACCCCAGUAGUC
rnacentral:rRNA from 1 species